CUUCUACAAUAGUGAACGUAUCUCAAUGAAAUUUAUUUCUGAAGCAGAAUUCAUGGAUACCUCCAAAAAAAUGCUAAACAACUUUUCCGUAGCGUGACAAACAAAUGUAUUAAAAAUUGAAAACGAAUAUUUAAGAAAAAUCGACAGGGGUAGCUGCUGAAAUUUCUCGGCGAAAAAA